GGGGGGAGGCGGGAUCCUGGGCUGUGUCCCGGCGCCCUGCGCUCCGGAGCCUGCGCUGUUGGAUUCGCGCUCCCGGGCCGCAGCCCCCU
rnacentral:pre_miRNA from 1 species